AACGAACGCUGGCGGCGUGAAUAAGACAUGCAAGUCGAACGGGACAGACCGAGUAGCAAUAUUUGGAAUGUUCAGUGGCGAACGGGUGCGUAACACGUGGAUAACAUUCCGGAAAGCGGGGAAUAGCCCAGGGAAACGUGGAUUAAUACCGCAUGUGGCCGCAAGGCUAAAGACGGGGACCGCAAGGCCUGUCCCUUUCCGAUUUGUCCGCGGUCUAUCAGCUAGUUGGCGGGGUAAUGGCCCACCAAGUCUACGACGGGUAGCUGGUCUUAGAGGACGACCAGCCACACUGGAACUGAGACACGGUCCAGACACCUACGGGUGGCAGCAGUCGAGAAUCUUUCACAAUGGGGGCAACCCUGAUGGAGCGACGCCGCGUGGAGGAUAAGGUCUUCGGAUUGUAAACUCCUGUCAUGCGAGAACAAAGUACUCAGGCUAAUAACCUGAUUGUUUGAUGGUACCGCAAGAGGAAGAGACGGCUAACUCUGUGCCAGCCGCCGCGGUAACAC
rnacentral:rRNA from 1 species